AAAUGCGAUAAGUAAUGUGAAUUGCAGAAUUCAGUGAAUCAUCGAAUCUUUGAACGCACAUUGCGCUCCUUGGUAUUCCUUGGAGCAUGCCUGUUUGAGUAUCAUGAAAUCUUCAAAGUAAAUCUUUUGUUAACUCAAUUGGUUUCUACUUUGGUAUUGGAGGUCUUUGCAGCUUCACACCUGCUCCUCUUUGUUCAUUAGCUGGAUCUCAGUGUUAUGCUUGGUUCCACUCGGCGUGAUAAGUUAUCUAUCGCUGAGGACACUGUAAAAGGUGGCCAAGGUAAAUGCAGAUGAACCGCUUCUAAUAGUCCAUUGACUUGGACAAUACUUUUAUGAUCUGAUCUCAAAUCAGGUAGGACUACCCGCUGAACUUAAGC
rnacentral:misc_RNA from 1 species